rnacentral:rRNA from 1 species
UACGAAGGGGGCUAGCGUUGCUCGGAAUUACUGGGCGUAAAGGGCGCGUAGGCGGAUGUUUAAGUCAGCGGUGGAAGCCCAGGGCUCAACCUUGGAACUGCCAUUGAUACUGGACAUCUUGAGUACGGGAGAGGUGAGUGGAACUCCGAGUGUAGAGGUGAAAUUCGUAGAUAUUCGGAAGAACACCAGUGGCGAAGGCGACUCACUGGCCCGUUACUGACGCUGAGGCGCGAAAGCGUGGGGAGCAAACAGG